rnacentral:lncRNA from 1 species
CCACCAUUUUAACAGUGAUUGCUUCUCAGGGCCUGUUCACAGGACUCUUAUCUAAAUAAACAUUUCAUGAGGUUACUUACCUCUAUCAGACUUUUAAUUCAUAAUGUGAAGCUAUAUUGUUUUGGAAAUGACAGGCGCUUGGUGACUCAGUUCCUUCUGUUUCUGCCAAUAACCACAGCUUUGGGUCUUUAUACCAGAAUGGUGUCCAAAGCCCUGGGAAGUUCACAAGUGCUGGAUUCCUCUACACAGCAAAGAUGGAAAGAGCUGCUGUUUGGGCAGGCAAUGUUUCAUUCAGCAACUCCAAAACAGAUACAGUCGGUAAAAUUCAACCUGUCUUGUCUUUGGACCUCUGGAAAGAAACCUGUGGACAGACCAGACAUUAUGGUGGAAGCUGCCUUACAGAAACGUAAAAUGGAUGGAAAGCAAGAGUCAAGAAUUUCUCGGACACAAAAGUCAACAAAACAAGAGAUUUUCACUUUCUCCAGGGUAUAUACUGAUUUGUCUGCUAUCUUCACCAUUAGUACGUGACACUGCUUUGAUAUCUUCCCUAUUCAGUUAGAUCAUUUUUGUAACUGAUAAUGUUACUGUGAAAAGCAAACUGCUGCUGAGUUAAAGAUUAAGUCAAAACUAAGCCCUUAGUCAGUCUGAAUGUGUGUAUUAUUCAAGGAUCCUGUUUAUUAUCACGGUAACUCUACAUUGUAAUGCCCAUAAAGAUUAAAAAUAAACUAGUCAAAGCAAUGAGCUUACUGUAAAUU